GAUGAACGCUGGCUACAGGCUUAACACAUGCAAGUCGAGGGGAAACGACGGGGUAGCUUGCUUCCCCGGGCGUCGACCGGCGCACGGGUGAGUAACGCGUAUCCAACCUGCCUCUGACUGAGGGAUAACCCGCCGAAAGUCGGCCUAAUACCCCAUGGCAUCGUCUGCGGGCAUCCAACGACGAUUAAAGAUUUCAUCGUUCAGAGAUGGGGAUGCGUCUGAUUAGCUUGUUGGCGGGGUAACGGCCCACCAAGGCGACGAUCAGUAGGGGUUCUGAGAGGAAGGGCCCCCACAUUGGGACUGAGACACGGUCCAAACACCUACGGGAGGAAGCAGUGAGGAAUAAUGGUCAAUGGGCGAGAGCCUGAGCCAGCCAAGUAGCGUGCAGGAUGACCGCCCUAUGGAUGGUAAACUGCUUUUAUGCGGGGAUAAGGUGAGGGACGUGUCCUUCAUUGCAGGUACCGCAUGAAUAAGGACCGGCUAAUUCCGUG
rnacentral:rRNA from 1 species